rnacentral:rRNA from 1 species
CAUUAUACGGCGAAACUGCGAAUGGCUCAUUAAAUCAGUUAUCGUUUACUUGAUAGACCCAUACUACUUGGAUAACCGUGGUAAUUCUAGAGCUAAUACAUGCGAAAAACCGCGACUUCGGAAGCGGUGUAUUUAUUAGAUUAAAGACCAAUGCCCUUCGGGGCUGACUGGUGAUUCAUGAUAACUUCACGAAUCGCACGGCCUUGCGCCGGCGAUGGCUCAUUCAAAUUUCUGCCCUAUCAACUUUCGACUUUAGUGUAGUGGACUAAAGUGGUUGCAACGGGUAACGGAGGGUUAGGGCUCGACCCCGGAGAAGGAGCCUGAGAGACGGCUACUACAUCCAAGGAAGGCAGCAGGCGCGCAAAUUACCCAAUCCCGACUCGGGGAGGUAGUGACAAUAAAUACUGAUACAGGGCUCUUUUGGGUCUUGUAAUUGGAAUGAGUACAAUUUAAAUCUCUUAACGAGGAACAAUUGGAGGGCAAGUCUGGUGGACAAAUCCAGUCCCGUGCUGGCGCCAGCAAGAGCGGGGGGCCCCUGCGGGCCUUCUUUCCCGCUAGUCGAGCACCCGUUCCAUGACGGGAGGGUGCCGGCGAGACAACCUGGAUCGGGGGAGGCUAAGAGGCGCCGCCAGGCGUCUUACGUUGAUCCCGAGCAGAGCACCCGAGGAGCGAUCUUCGGGCUGCCUGUGUAGAGCGCGCAAAGGUGUCGGUCGCUCUCCCCCUCGGGGGAGGCGGCUUAAGGGACGUGCCAUCCGCCUCGAAAGAGGAUUUCCUAUCUCCAGCGCCCGUCACGCUAAGGAUAGGAAGCUGCCGGCUUGCACCGGCAGUGGGAGAUCAAUACGGCCAGCAGCCGCGGUAAUUCCAGCUCCAAUAGCGUAUAUUAAAGUUGUUGUGGUUAAAAAGCUCGUAGUUGAACCUGGGCCUCGCGCAGACCGGUCCGCCUCACCGCGUGCACUGGUCCUGCCGGGGCUUUCACUAGGGGAUUCGCAUGUCCUUCACUGGGCGUGUGCGGAACCUGGACUUUUACUGUGAAAAAAUUAGAGUGUUCAAAGCAGGCCUAUGCUCGAAUACAUUAGCAUGGAAUAAUAGAAUAGGACGUGUGGUUCUAUUUUGUUGGUUAUGGGACCGCCGUAAUGAUUAAUAGGGACAGUCGGGGGCAUCAGUAUUCAAUAGUCAGAGGUGAAAUUCUUGGAUUUAUUGAAGACUAACUACUGCGAAAGCAUUUGCCAAGGAUGUUUUCAUUAAUCAGGAACGAAAGUUAGGGGAUCGAAGACGAUCAGAUACCGUCGUAGUCUUAACCAUAAACUAUGCCGACUAGGGAUCGGGCGAUGUUACUUUUUGACUCGCUCGGCACCUUACGAGAAAUCAAAGUCUGUGGGUUCCUGGGGGAGUAUGGUGGCAACGCUGAAACUUAAAGAAAUUGACGGAAGGGCACCACCAGGAGUAAACCUUUGCUACAAUUAUAUUUUCGAAAUGCCGCAGUAGCUCUGCUCCAAAAAGCAGCCCGAAAGGGUGAGGUGGUUUCAGCCCGGGUCGCCUCGUGCGGUCCGAAUCUAAAUGCUAGUCCGCCUCGGCGGGCGACACGCUCAAAUUGCGGGGAACUCCUAAAGCUCCAGCCACCAAGCCGCCGUGCGAAAGCCGGUGGCGGCCAGGUUAAUUGCCUCGGGUACGGUAAUAGUGCUGGAGAUGCUACAAUGGAUGAUCCGCAGCCAAGCCCCUAAGGCGCCUUGCGCUACGGGGAAGGUUCAGAGACUAGACGGGUGUGGGUCCCGCGGCCGCGGCCGCGGGGCUUAAGGUAUAGUCCGGCCGACGUCGAAAGGCGUCGGGGCCAGCUG